rnacentral:rRNA from 1 species
GUGAACGCUGGCGGUAGGCCUAACACAUGCAAGUCGAACGGCAGCACAGUAAGAGCUUGCUCUUCGGGUGGCGAGUGGCGGACGGGUGAGGAAUAAAACCGAAUCUUCUUUUUUGUGGGGGAUUACGUAGGGAAACUUACGCUUAUACCGCAUACGACCUUCGGGUGAAAGCAAGGGAUCCUCGGACCUUUCGCGGAUUAAUGAGCCGAAGUUGGAUUAGCUAGUUGGCGGGGUAAAGGCCCACCAAGGCGACGAUCCGUAGCUGGUCUGAGAGGAUGAUCAGCCACACUGGAACUGAGACACGGUCCAGACUCCUACGGGAGGCAGCAGUGGGGAAUAUUGGACAAUGGGCGCAAGCCUGAUCCAGCCAUACCGCGUGGGUGAAGAAGGCCUUCGGGUUGUAAAGCCCUUUUGUUGGGAAAGAAAAGCAGCAGGUUAAUACCCCGCUGUUCUGACGGUACCCAAAGAAUAAGCACCGGCUAACUUCGUG